AUUGAACGCUGGCGGCAGGCCUAACACAUGCAAGUCGAACGGUAACAGGAAGCAGCUUGCUGCUUCGCUGACGAGUGGCGGACGGGUGGGUAAUGUCUGGGAAACUGCCUGAUGGAGGGGGAUAACUACUGGAAACGGUAGCUAAUACCGCAUAACGUCGCAAGACCAAAGAGGGGGACCUUAGGGCCUCUUGCCAUAGGAUGUGACCAGAUGGGAUUAGCUAGUAGGUGGGGUAACGGGUCACCUAGGCGACGAUCCCUAGCUGGUCUGAGAGGAUGACCAGCCACACUGGAACUGAGACACGGUCCAGACUCCUACGGGAGGCAGCAGUGGGGAAUAUUGCACAAAGGGCGCAAGCCUGAUGCAGCCAUGCCGCGUGUAUGAAGAAGGCCUUCGGGUUGUAAAGUACUUUCAGCGGGGAGGAAGGGAGUAAAGUUAAUACCUUUGCUCAUUGACGUUACCCGCAGAAGAAGCACCGGCUAACUCCGUG
rnacentral:rRNA from 1 species